AUUGAACGCUGGCGGCAGGCCUAACACAUGCAAGUCGAGCGAGCGGCGGACGGGUGAGUAAUGUCUGGGAAACUGCCUGAUGGAGGGGGAUAACUACUGGAAACGGUAGCUAAUACCGCAUACCAUCAGAUUUGCCCCGUUGGGAUUAGCUAGUAGGUGGGGUAACGGCUCACCUAGGCGACGAUCCCUAGCUGGUCUGAGAGGAUGACCAGCAACAUUGGAACUGAGACACGGUCAAGACUCUUACGGGAGGCAGCGGUGGGGAAUAUUGCAAAAUGGGCGAAAGCCGGAGGCAGCCAUGCGGCGUGUGUGAAGAAGGCCUUGGGGUUGUAAAGCACUUUCAGCGGGGAGGCGUUACCCGAAGAAGAAGCACCGGCUAACUCCGUGCCAGCAGCCGCGGUAAUAC
rnacentral:rRNA from 1 species